GCGGGGCGCGGCUGGUGCGCCUGAGGAGCGAUGGCGGCCUCAACUCACCUAGCACCGCGGUGGCGAUCGGGCCUGCUCAGGGUCGGAGUUCUGUGACUGAACGAUUUGUAGGUCUGGAUCGGGCAGUGACCUCUGAGCUCACUACUCCAGCCUGGUAUAUCUUCUGGCUCCAUGGACAGUUACUGGCUCCUACAGACCGGAUGAAGCAGACUAGAGACACAAGUAGAGAAAGCCUCUGGCUGGCAAAUUCUCAGAGUGUGGCCCUCUGGCCACUGGCCCUGCCCGGCCUACCUCAUGGAGAGGAUGAACUGGCUGAGCAGACUGGCCUCCCGGGGCCCUGGGCAUCGUGCACCACAAGGGGCCAGUCUGCAGACUCCUGUCAUGGCUGACCCUGAGACCUGCCUCAUGGUUUUCAAGAAUCACUGGUCCCAGGUGGUACGAAUUCUGGAGCGGCAAGGCCCUAGGGCAGCUCCUGGGGGAGCCGACGAUCUCAGUGCUGUGUGCAACCACACUUACCAGAUGCUGACACUGCUGGCGGAGGAUCGUGCGGUGCCCUCGGCUCCCACAGCUCCUGGGCCCCUGCUGGAGUUUGCUCUGCGCGAGGAUCUGCUAACCCGUGUGUUGACGUGGCAGCUUCAGUGGGAUGAGCUUGGGGAUGGGGUUGAGGAACGGCGGGCUGAGCAGCUGAAACUAUUUGAGAUGCUAGUGAGCGAAGCUCGCCAGCCACUGUUGCGGCAUAGUCCAGUUCGUGAGGCUCUGCUGAUCUUGCUGGAUGCCUGCGGCCGCCCUGUGCCCAGUAGCCCAGCACUGGAUGAAGGCCUGGUGCUACUUCUCAGCCAGCUGUGUGUGUGUCUGGCCCGGGAGCCUUCAUUGCUCGAGUUCUUCCUGCAGCCACCUCCUGAGCCCGGAGCUGCUCCCCGUCUUCUCCUCUUUUCUCGCCUUGUACCUUUUGUCCAUCGAGAGGGCACACUGGGCCAGCAGGCCCGUGAUGCCCUACUCCUGCUCAUGGCUCUGUCAGCUGGAAGUCCCACUGUGGGCCGCUACAUCGCGGAUCACUCUUACUUCUGCCCGGUGCUGGCCACAGGGCUGAGUGCCCUGUACUCUUCACUGCCCCGAAAGAUUGAAGUUCCAGGAGAUGAUUGGCACUGCCUGCGACGGGAGGACUGGCUGGGGGUGCCAGCCCUUGCUCUCUUCAUGAGUUCCCUAGAGUUCUGCAACGCAGUCAUUCAGGUGGCUCACCCUCUAGUGCAAAAGCAGCUGGUAGAUUAUAUCCAUAAUGGGUUCCUGGUGCCUGUCAUGGGCCCUGCCCUGCACAAGACCUCUGUGGAGGAGAUGAUUGCCAGUACCGCUUAUCUGGAACUUUUCCUACGGAGUAUUUCAGAGCCUGCCUUGCUCCGUACCUUCCUGCGAUUCCUGCUAUUACACCGGCAUGACACCCACACCAUCCUUGACACCCUUGUUGCCCGUAUUGGCAGCAACUCCCGGCUCUGCAUGGUCUCUCUGAGUCUCUUCAGGACCCUACUGAACCUCAGCUGUGAGGAUGUCCUGCUGCAGCUGGUUCUCAGGUAUCUUGUCCCAUGUAACCAUGUGAUGCUGAGCCAGAAGCCAGCUGUGCGUGAUGUGGACCUAUAUGGACGAGCAGCAGACAAGUUUCUCUCCUUAAUCCCACGCUGUUGUCGGCACUGUGCCUCCAGCCCACCUCGUCCAGAGCAUGCCUCGUGGGCACGAGGUGGGCCUAGCAGAGAGGCAGGGAGAAGGGAGGACACGACGGGCCCUGGAAGCCCAAGUGUUGACUCCUCUUCUGUGGUGACGGUACCCCGGGCCUCCACGCCAUCUCGUCUGGCCCUCUUCCUGCGACAGCAGAGCCUGGGUGGCUCCGAGUCCCCAGCCCCAGCCCCGCGCUCACCAGGGCUUGCUGCAUCCCCAGCCUCCAGCCCUGGCCGACGGCCCAGCCCUGUGGAGGAGCCCGGUGAGCUGGAAGACAAUUACCUGGAGUAUCUGCGUGAGGCGCGCCUUGGUGUGGACCGCUGUGUCCAAGCCUGCCGUACCUGGUCUGCCCCCUAUGAUGGCGAGCGGCCCCCUCCUGAGCCCAGUCCUGUUGGCUCCCGGACUAAGAAACGCAGCCUACUGCCUGAGGAGGACAGGGACAAUGCAGGGGAAGGGGAGGAGGAAGAGCUGGGGAGGGGGGUGCUGGCUCUGGGUGCAAGGGAGGGCUCUGGCCACCUGCUCCCUCCCCAGCUCAAUGGGGUGCCAGGACCAUGGCCUGAGGGGGCCAAGAAAGUUCGUCGGGUGCCACAGGAGGGAGCUGGGGAACUACUAGAGGGCACCUCCGAGGGCGUGGCAGGACUAGAGAGCUUUGGGCAGGAGCUCCGGGAGCUGGAGGUGGCGUUGAGCAAUGGGGGCGCUGGCUCAGAGCCCCCUCUAGAGGCUUCACUACCUCUUGAGGAGGAGGAGGCCUACGAAAGCUUCACCUGUCCCCCUGAGCCCCCUGGCCCCUUCCUCAGCAGCCCUUUGCGGACUCUCAACCAGCUGCCAAGCCAGCCCUUCACUGGCCCCUUCAUGGCUGUGCUCUUUGCCAAACUCGAGAACAUGCUGCAGAACUCCGUCUAUGUCAACUUCCUGCUGACGGGGCUGGUGGCCCAGCUGGCCUGUCACCCCCAGCCCCUGCUCCGCUCUUUCCUGCUCAACACCAACAUGGUCUUCCAGCCCAGUGUCAAGUCCCUGCUGCAGGUGCUGGGCUCUGUGAAGAAUAAGAUUGAGAGCUUUGCAGCCUCCCAGGAGGACUUCCCAGCACUGCUAUCCAAAGCCAAGAAGUACCUCAUUGCCCGUGGCAAGUUGGACUGGACCGAGGGCCCUGCGGCAGGAUCUGCUCCCCGCCGAUCUGAUUCCCUAGUGAAGAGCCGGAGGCCGUCCCUGGGGGAGUUGCUCCUGCGGCAUGCACACAGUCCAACCAGGGCUCGGCAGGCGGCACAGAUGGUUCUUCAGCCUGGGAGAGACGGCACAGGACUUGGCCUAGGUGGGGGCUCCCCUGGGGCAUCAACACCGGUCCUACCCCCCCGGGGUGGGGCCCCUGACCGCCAAGGGCAGGGGCCCCAAAAGGGUUGUACAUGGAUGGGGAAGUGGUCAGGGUGUUUUGUCUCUGGCGAGGACACGAUGCCAAGGUUUCGAGUUCACAGAGUCUGAGACUGAAAGUUGAUGAAGGAAAACACAUGACAGCUGAGUUCUAGGUGGAGCUGAUGAGCCCAAGGCCUGGGCUCUUUGGGCCAUAUCCUGUUCAUGGGUUUUGCCACCAUGGUAGCACGUUCUGGGGUCUCCCUGGGAUAAAAGGCACAGCUUAUCAGCAUAUCUGAGGAGUGACCAGAGUGGAGAGCACGAGGGAAACAAACAGGUAGGGGCUGUUAUCCAGAGAACAUGCCGCUCUCUGCAAGAGCCUCCAUGGCAGUACAGAAUCGUUUGGAUAACAAAGACCUCAGAGUGUUCAAGAGCCCUGACAAGUCUCACUUCUCUCAGGCUACAGGGAUAAUCCUACAGGUCCCUAAUCGCUUAUUUGAAACCUUUUGGGACGGAUGUGUUUUGGAAUUCAGAAUUUUUAAGAUUUUAGAAAGGGAAUAUUGUGCCUUUAUGAUAUAUAAAGGAAUACCCCAGUGAGAUUGAGGGCGGUGCCCUGUCAUCAAACCCAUCAAUAUUUCUGUAGCUAAAUGUAUGAAUAUUCACACUAAGUGAGAUAAAUAGUAUAAAUAUGAUCAUGACGGGUCAGGCCAGAUUUUGGGUCAAAGUUAUGAAAAAACUAUUGUUUCUUCAGAGAUGUUUUUAUUUUGUAAUUAUAGGUAAGGGAUUAUGGGCUUAUAAUUGUUCUCAGGUUGUUGUGAGGAGUAAGAGUGCCGGAAAAGCCUUCUAAACACACCGCAUGCUAGGUACGUAUGCAAUCUCAAUCCAAAACAAAAUAUAAAUGUCUGAGGGGAUGGACUUUUGGCUUAACAGUGAACAAUGUACAGCUUUGGACUCAGCUGCCUUGGGAGUUGUGCACAACCAUGGAGUGAAGGUGCCUUACUUAGCAGAGAGGCUUCCUGUGGUGGGAGGGAGACAGAACUCACCGCUUUUGAACAUCGGCUGCACAUGAUUUCCCUUUUCACGUACCAGAGGUGAAAGACAAAAAAUGUGUGGAGUCUUUUAGCAGAAAGUGAAUCCCAUGUUGAGCAAUACCACAACACUUCCUGUUUAAUAUCUCUGUUCUCUGGAAGCCACAGCAGUGUGAAAUAUUCCUAUUUCAUCAUAUUGCACCAGCAUCGUGUGCUACUCGUCAUGUUGGCCAGGACAAAUGGGGGUUCUAUUUGAUGUGGAUUUUAUUUGAGAAUUCUACAUUCUGGCUCAGGAUGCACAAAAGGGCAGACUGAAGGGGGUUACCCUCGAGUUUCAUUCCUGGGGUGCCAGAAGCAGAACAGGUGACAGGAGGGGAGGAGAUGGCACUCAACCCAGAGUAGCAGCCAGAAGAGGAAGAAGCAUCUCUGGUGUUGGAAGAGGCAGGAUGAGUAGAAUCGAUUCCUCCCAGAACAGAAUCUAGCCCGUGGCAGAAACUUAACAAAGGUUGGAUGGAUAAAUGAAGGAGGAGGAAAGCACCAGCAGAAGACUUGACUGGGGAAGGAGCCUAAGCACCGUGUGUUUGCAGCUUCUCUUCACCUUGACCAAUGUCUGUGGGGCCCUUUCUACCCACUUCCCUCAGGACCCUUACCCCUCCCACCUGGGUCACAUGAACUCUUCCCUGUUCUGCCUCUGCUAACCUGGGUAACUCAGGAAGUAGAGUAAGGAGGUAGAGAUGGGGGCAACAAAGAAAGAGACUGACUUUUGUCAGUGGAAAGAUCUGGGUUAGAGGAACACUUCCUCUGGGAGGUCUUUGCUGACUUCCUGAAGUCUGGAGAGAAGACCUUGCUUUCUUUAUUUUUAAUAGCAUCAGUUCCCGUCUAUUGUAAUUACUUGUCUCUCUCUCCCCCACUAGACUGAAAGAGUUACAGGCAGUGCUUAUUUGCCUCACUGUUACCACUGCUUAU